rnacentral:tRNA from 1 species
UAUCUAAUAGUUUAAAGGUAGAACAUUACUCUUCUAAAGUAAGAAUUUAGGUUCGACUCCUAAUUAGAUAG